rnacentral:sRNA from 1 species
UACACCGUCAAAUUCAACAAUAAUACUGUCCUGCAACGGAAUAACACCAUCAACCGUUGUUGGGCUUCGAUGUCGUUAUGCGCUAACAUCAUUAACAUUAAAAAUCAGGAAGUUAACAAUUUGGCUUGAAUGCUUGAAUUCAUUACCUAGAUUCCCCAAACUAUUUGAAAAGCAGAUUGGGUACUUAGUUACCAUCGACAAAUUGUACUUGGAAGAGAUCCCAUGCUGUCUAGCAUUCUGUUAUCCCACAAUUUAUCGGUUCACCCCUCCACUUAUGUGCCGUUAAAUGAUAUUGACCAUCUUCGAUGGAUUAAUUCAUCUAGGAUAAUAUUGACUUAUAUGUAAUGUUUAAACGUAUGAAACAUGCUCCGAUUUAGGUCAGAAGCUGUUAAUAUAUGAUAACUUAUCGAAGGACCACAAAUCCCAUGAGCUUCAUUUUCUGUGUUACGCACUUUCCCUUCUCUCCACAUGCGUGCCUCGACUUUUUCCGAGAAAUAUUCCUCCGGCACAUAUUAAAUAGCCCUCUGAAAUACUAUUAGCUACCUCCAUAUUUGUGCUUUCCCUGAGUCUCCGAUGAUAUGCCCAGUCCGUAUUGCAGAUGACGUGCCAUUCUUUACCCUGUUCCACACAAAUGCAUUGUCGGCGAACCUCAAGCGCAUAGACACCUCUCACAGCAUCGUACCGGCGUGGUACGAAGCAGCAUACUUCGCCCAAGAUUCCUUGGGUGCAAGCUCAUGAUUAACUACGAACAGGUGGGACAUCUUAUUGUAAGAGGAGGUCGGAGUGGUUGCAUCUACUUCCCAUAAACCUCCUCUAUUUGUCCGUUCCUGGAUUCUAUUUCAAACCUUCAAUUAAAUCAAUACAGCAAC